rnacentral:rRNA from 1 species
UACGUAGGGUGCGAAGCGUUGUCCGGAAUUACUGGGCGUAAAGAGCUUGUAGGCGGCUUGUCGCGUCGAUCGUGAAAACUCACAGCUCAACUGUGAGCUUGCGGUCGAUACGGGCAGGCUUGAGUACUGCAGGGGAGACUGGAAUUCUUGGUGUAGCGGUGAAAUGCGCAGAUAUCAGGAGGAACACCGGUGGCGAAGGCGGGUCUCUGGGCAGUAACUGACGCUGAGAAGCGAAAGCGUGGGUAGCGAACAGG